UCUUAAAUAGUUUAUAAAAAAUAAUGGAAUGUGAUUCUAUAGAAAUAAAUUUUAUUUUAAGUA
rnacentral:tRNA from 1 species